CGGAUGACACCUGUCAUAACUCUAGGCUAAUGCCUUAAAAUUUGCGGUACAAUAGCCAAAACAUAUAUUUAUAAAAUAACAGAGAAGCAAGUUGGUUGUGAUAUGCCAAAACCUACAAACGGUUAAGCCUGUUAAAAAAAAAAAAAAAGCGAGCAAAAAAAUAUACACUCUGUUCCAAAUUAUUAUGCAAAUUAUAUUUUUCUCAUUUACC